UACGUAGGGUCCGAGCGUUGUCCGGAAUUACUGGGCGUAAAGAGCUCGUAGGUGGUUUGUCGCGUUGUUCGUGAAAACUCACAGCUUAACUGUGGGCGUGCGGGCGAUACGGGCAGACUAGAGUACUGCAGGGGAGACUGGAAUUCCUGGUGUAGCGGUGGAAUGCGCAGAUAUCAGGAGGAACACCGGUGGCGAAGGCGGGUCUCUGGGCAGUAACUGACGCUGGGGAGCGAAAGCGUGGGGAGCGAACAGGAUUAGAAACCCCGUGUA
rnacentral:rRNA from 1 species